UACGUAGGUGGCAAGCGUUGUCCGGAAUUAUUGGGCGUAAAGCGCGCGCAGGUGGUUUCUUAAGUCUGAUGUGAAAGCCCACGGCUCAACCGUGGAGGGUCAUUGGAAGCUGGGGAACUUGAGUGCAGGAGAGAAGAGUGGAAUUCCACGUGUAGCGGUGAAAUGCGUAGAGAUGUGGAGGAACACCAGUGGCGAAGGCGACUCUUUGGCCUGUAACUGACACUGAGGCGCGAAAGCGUGGGGAGCAAACAGG
rnacentral:rRNA from 1 species